GGAAAAAUAUGUGCAAUGGUUGUUGGAUAACAGUAACAGCUAUUAAACACAAAAAACCAUUCCCCAACAUUAUGCAGCUCUCUGCAGUAGAAAUUUCAAGCUAAAGUACCCAAAUCUCUUACAAUUUCAAAAUUCAAGUUGAUUUUCUUGUCAAAAGCUAAAAAUAUCUCACAACACCACUUUUAAUAACAUUUAGAUUCAUUAUGUUUACCUUGCACACUUGCAAAUCUAUACCUCUAGAUGCAAUUUGUAUAUCUGAAAUAAAAUUUGUGCCCAGACUGUUAGUUCACAUAGCACACAACUGUGCUUCUCAUUGCUAUUUAAAACCAUUGUACAAGUUACCAUGAGCAUCCACAAUUACUACUAUUAAACAAUUAUAGCAAUGGAUUUUAACAUUAACUAAUGCUUUGUAUUUCCUAUUCAUUUUUGUUAAGGAGUUCAAAAGUCCUUGCAUUCAUGAUAGAAAAAAACU
rnacentral:misc_RNA from 1 species